AAAAUUAUGUUUUCAAAUUGAAAUUGAAUAGCCAAUCUAAAUGAAAAAAAUUUUAGUGUCAUCGUCAACCUUAUAAUUUCCCCUAUAUUGUAUCAAAUCCCAACUCCUAUACUGUUUCAAAAAAAUGCCAAAAUAUAACGACCAACAUGGACCUUCUUAAAAAUUUUUUAAGAUUAAAAAAUAUAAUCUUUGUUAAAAUGAAAAAGAUAGUAGGCAAGAGAAACAUAAUGAAAACCAUACGGCUUUUAUCCUUACUUAGUCGCUUCCUCUUCAAUUUCCUGGAACUCGCGAACGACUGUGUCAGACCUUUUGAGCUUAUCAUUAAUGAAUGUCCAUCUUUUCAAGGUAUUCUCUACCAAUCCGUCAGCACGGGGUAGUAGAUUCUUGCCUACGACCUUGGGUGCAAACAAAUAUGGAAUUAACAUAGGGUGUGGAAGAGGCGUUAAUAUCACCAAAUAAACAAACAUUAAGUUUUUAUCAUAAGGAUAGGGCUGUACGGCGGAUAGAAGAAUUUGUUGAACAUGAUCAAAGUCGAAGCUAGUCAUCAACUCAAUUCUGUUUACCACAGUAUCCGUGUCUUCAUCUAACAUAACACUGUAAUUCUUAACAUCUAAGGGGAUCGCUUUAGCACCUACUGACUCUAACCUUCGGAGCUCCUCUUCAACUUUUUCAGCAAUCCAACUUUUUGCUUUCUCGUCAACCUGCAAACUGUCCAAAUCCUUAUGUGCUGGGUUUUCACUCAUUGAAAAUCAGGUAAUACGUUUUUUUCUCAAUUAUUUUAAGUUUGACUCGGCCAAAUGAUUUAAUUCGAAAAAAGUUUUACCUUAUUAGAAUAUCAGUAGUGGUAAAGGAAUAAAUAUUAGGAAAAAAAAGUAAAA